UGGAUUGAUUUAUAAGCUUAUGAAAAACACAUCAAACAUCAGCCAAGUACCAGAAACACAAACCACAUACCCAGAACCCAUUACAUUAGACUAAUUCACAUAUAUACACACUCAAAAUCAAGCAAAAUAAGAGACACAUAUGGAUUACAUAUCUUGGCGGUUUAUUCCUUCUGUGAUAUGGAUUGCAUAUCUUUAGGUUUCCUUGUGAUAUGGAUUGCAUAUAUUUCUCUUGGCAGGCACAUACAUUCAGAGUCCUACUAAACUCUAACCGGUGGCUGAUAACGAAGUAACUGGUGGCUGAAUGUGAAGUAGCUGUCAAUCACUUUGCA
rnacentral:lncRNA from 1 species